UCAUGUGAUAUGUAACAAAAAAUAUUUUUUUAAACGUAACAAUACAAGUAAUACGUGCUUUUAUAUCGUAAUAAUACAAAACUUUCGAACCAGUAUGUUAAGCAUUGUGAGGAAUUUCGAAGUUUAAUUCACUCUUUUCUAUUGAAAAUAUAUAAUUUAUCUUACGAAGAUGCUACCAAAAGAAUACAAAGGAGCAUAACUCGGUAGUAUAAGUGCUGACCAUGAAGAAAAUACUUAUUAUAUGUGAUUCACAUCACGUUCUCACAUGAAAAGAAAUUUUUUAUCCGUUAAAUCCGAAGUCCAUUAAAUCAAGAAUCUAUUGUAUUUUUAAGAAAAAACAUACAAGUUUAAAAUCGAAUUCGAAAACGAACAUCAUCUUCUGAAAACUUCUAAAAAUAUGAAUUAUUCGUAUAAAAAUAAAUGAAGAUAACUGAAAGAAGAAAAUGUAAGGAAAAAUUGCCAAGAAAGGGAGUGAUAUACAAGUGUAUUUGAUGAUCCGAUCAAUGACAAAUAGUAAAACUAUGCCAUUGAUAAACGAGAAAUUCAACAAUGAAAGAGAAAAGCAACAUUAAAAAAAAGAAAGCAAGAAAUUGCAUCAAAGACAUAAAAUAGAUAUUCCUUCAAUCGUAGAUUAAAUAAGAUGUUCUAUUUAAUCUCUCAAUAAAUAAAUAAAGAAAGAUCCAAUAUCAAAUAGAGUGUAAACAUAUAUAAG